rnacentral:rRNA from 1 species
CCUACGGGAGACAGCAGUAGGGAAUAUUGCUCAAUGGGGGAAACCCUGAAGCAGCAACGCCGCGUGGAGGAUGAAGGUUUUCGGAUUGUAAACUCCUUUCGCUAGAGAAGAUAAUUACGGUAUCCUCCUAAUAAGCACCGGCUAACUCCGUGCCAGCCGCCGCGGUAAUUAGGAGGGUGCAGGCGUUACUCGGAAUCACGGGGCGGAAAGCGCGCGUAGGGGGGAUAGCAAGUCAGAUGUGAAAGCCUAUGGCUUAACCAUAGAACUGCAUUUGAAACUGUUAUUCUGGAGUAUGGGAGAGGUAGGUGGAAUUCUUGGUGUAGGGGUAAAAUCCGUAGAGAUCAAGAGGAAUAC